rnacentral:lncRNA from 1 species
UUUUUUUUUUUUUUUUUUUUGUCUUUUGAAGGCUGCAACGGAGGCAUAUGGAGGUUCCCAGGCUAGGGGUCUAAUCAGAGCUGUAGCCACCGGCCUACACCAGAGCCACAGCAAUGCAGGAUCCGAGUCGCGUCUGCAACCUACACCACAGCUCACGGCAACCCUGGAUCUGUUAACCCACUGAGCAAGGGCAGGGACCAAACCCGCAACCUCAUGGUUCCUAGUCGGAUUCGUUAACCACUGCGCCACAACGGGAACUCCUAUUUCUGAACAUUUUAAAUUGCAACCUUUAACAUCUCUGGUCAUACCCUAUUGUGCCAAGUCCAAGACUAUAUCCACUGGAGAAAUUUUCCAGAUUGGAAUUACUGAGCAUAGGGGUAUAAAUAUUUUUAUAGCUUUUUAAAAUUAUUAUUAUUUUUUUUUUAAGGGUCGCACCUGUGGCAUACAGAGCUUCCCUGGCUAGGGGUCGAAUCAGAGCUACAGCUGCCGGCCUACACCACAGCCACAGCAACACCAGAUCUGAGCCUCGUCUGCGAACUACACCACAGCUCAUGGCAACACCGGAUCCUUAACCCACUGAGCGAGGACAGGGAUAGAACCCGCAACCUCAGAUCUCCUAUUUGAAUUCGUUUCCACUGAGCCACAACAGGAACUCCUAUUUUUAUAGCUUUUAAUACUUAGUAUCAUGCUUUCCAGGCCACCGGCAAGUACCAGUUCUAUACCACUUUCAACCACAAUAGGUAUAACCUUUUAUUUUUUCCCCUGCUGGGUUAUAGGUGGGAAAUACUUUUUCAGUGUUCAUAUGACUUUGUAUUUAGAAAUUUGCCACCUUUUUAAGGCUUUAUGUUUUGAGAAAAAUUUAAAGUUCACCGCAAAAUGGAAAAGGAGGUACAGGGAUUUCCCAUUAUUCCCUGCCCCCACCCAUGUAUGGCCUCUCCCCUUAUCAACAUGCCCCACCAAAGUCCGACAUUUAUUACAACUAAUGGACAUAUGUCAACACAUCGUUAUCAUCCAAAAUCCAUAGUUUACAAUAGGGUUCCAUCUUCAAAUUGUACAUUCUAUAGGUUUGGACAAAUGGAUAAUGGCAUGUAUCUACCACUAUAAUGCAGAAUAGGUUCACUGCCCUAAAAAUCCUCCUAACUCUUCCCCAGCCUCAACAACCAUUGGUCUAUUUGUUUGGGGGUUUUUUGUUUUGUUUUGUUUUGUUUCGUUUUUUGCUUUUUAGGGCCAAACCUGCUGCAUGUGGAUGGAAGUUCCCAGGAUAGGGGUCCAAUCAGAGCUACAGCUGCGGGCCUACACAGCAGCCACAGCAAUACAGGAUCCGAGCUGCAUCUGAGACCUAUACCACAGCUCACACCAAUGCCGGAUCCUCAACCUACUGAGUGAGGCCAGGAAUCGAACCCAAAUCCUCAUGGAUCCUAGUCAGGUUCUUUACCACUGAGUCACGACGGGAACUCCACCAUUGGUCUUUUUACUGUCUCUACAUUCUGCCUUUUCCAGAGUGACAUAUAGUUGUAACCUUCUCAUACUGGCUUCUUUACUAAGUAAUAUGCAUUUAAGUUUCCUCCAUAUCUUUCCAUGGCUUGAUAGUGCAUUUCUUUUUAGCUCUCGAUACUAUUCCAUUGUCUAGAUGUACAUGCCUCAUUUAUCCAUUCACUUACUGCAGGACAUUUUGGUUGCUUCCAAUUUGGCUAUUAUGAAUCAAGGUGCUGUAAACAUUCCUGUACAGUCUUUCAUGUGGACUUGAGUUUUCACUUUUGGUGGGUAAAUACAAGAAGAAUUUAUAAGGAGAUUGCUGGAUCAUAUGCUAAGAGUAGGUUUCAUUUUGGAAGAAACUGGCAAACUGUUUCCUGAAGUGGCUAUACCAUUUUG